rnacentral:rRNA from 1 species
GAUGAACGCUAGCUACAGGCUUAACACAUGCAAGUCGAGGGGAAACGACAUCGAAAGCUUGCUUUUGAUGGGCGUCGACCGGCGCACGGGUGAGUAACGCGUAUCCAACCUGCCCACCACUUGGGGAUAACCUUGCGAAAGUAAGACUAAUACCCAAUGAUAUCCCACGAAGGCAUCGGAAUGGGAUUAAAGAUUUAUCGGUGAUGGAUGGGGAUGCGUCUGAUUAGCUUGUUGGCGGGGUAACGGCCCACCAAGGCUACGAUCAGUAGGGGUUCUGAGAGGAAGGUCCCCCCACAUUGGAACUGAGACACGGUCCAAACUCCUACGGGAGGCAGCAGUGAGGAAUAUUGGUCAAUGGGCAGAGCCUGAACCAGCCAAGUAGCGUGCAGGACCGACGGGCCCCUUAUGGGUUGUAAACUGCUUUUAUAAGGGAAUAAAGUGGGUCACGUGUGACUUUUUGCAUGUACCUUAUGAAUAGGA